CUAGGGAAGCAUUUCCUUCAAGCUUUUAAACAGAAUAUUGCUUGGUGAACAAAACAUUCUUUGCAGUGAGGUCCUAAGUCUUUUCCAGGUUUGGGUUUGCUGAUGGCCAGGUGUCAACGGGUGGCGACUCUCUUUAUUGCCUGGCCACCAGACCUGGAAGGCAACCAGUCUCACCAGCAGCUGGAUGACAAGCUGAGAGCAUCUGAGAACACAUCAUAAGAAAAGCACAGCUGGAAUCAGAAGAAGG